GAUGAACGCUGGCGGCGUGCCUAAUACAUGCAAGUCGAGCGAACGGACGAGGCGCUUGCUUCUCUGAUGUUAGCGGCGGACGGGUGAGUAACACGUGUAUCACCUACCUAUAAGACUGGGAUAACUUCGGGACACCGGAGCUAAUACCGGAUAAUAUUUUGCACCGCAUGGUUCAAAAGUGAAAGACGGUCUUGCUGUCACUUAUAGAUGGAUCCGCGCUGCAUUAGCUAGUUGGUAAGGUAACGGCUUACCAAGGCAACGAUGCAUAGCCGACCUGAGAGGGUGAUCGGCCACACUGGAACGGAGACACGGUCCAGACUCCUACGGGAGGCAGCAGUAGGGAAUCUUCCGCAAUGGGCGAAAGCCUGACGGAGCAACGCCGCGUGAGUGAUGAAGGUCUUCGGAUCGUAAAACUCUGUUAUUAGGGAAGAACAUAUGUGUAAGUAACUGUGCACAUCUUGACGGUACCUAAUCAGAAAGCCACGGCUAACUACGUG
rnacentral:rRNA from 1 species